AACGCGAAGAACCUUACCUGGGCUCGAAAUGCAGAGGGCGAUAUCAGAAAUGGUAUUUUCCGCAAGGACUUCUGUAUAGGUGCUGCAUGGCUGUCGUCAGCUCGUGCCGUGAGGUGUUGGGUUAAGUCCCGCAACGAGCGCAACCCUUAUCAUUAGUUGCCAACACGUAAGGUGGGGACUCUAAUGAGACUGCCUAGGUUAACUAGGAGGAAGGUGAGGAUGACGUCAAGUCCGCAUGGCCUUUAUGUCCAGGGCUACACACGUGCUACAAUGGUCGGUACAGAGGGCAGCAAGACCGUAAGGUGGAGCAAAUCCCAGAAAGCCGAUCUCAGUUCAGAUUGUGGUCUGCAACUCGACCACAUGAAGUCGGAAUUGCUAGUAAUGGCGAGUCAGCAACAUCGCCGUGAAUACGUUCCCGGGCCUUGUA
rnacentral:rRNA from 1 species